rnacentral:rRNA from 1 species
UCGUGUCAGAACGAACGCUGGCGGCGUGCUUAACACAUGCAAGUCGAACGCGAAAGGGACUUCGGUCCUGAGUAAAGUGGCGCACGGGUGAGUAACGCGUAGAUAACCUGUCUUCAUGUCUGGAAUAAUACGCCGAAAGGGGUACUAAUACCGGAUAUUCUUGCUUUUCAUAAGUUAUGCAAGCAAAGGUGGCCUCUGCAUAUGCUACUGCAUGAAGAGGGGUCUGCGUACCAUUAGCUAGUAGGUGGGGUAAUGGCCUACCUAGGCGACGAUGGUUAGCGGGUCUGAGAGGAUGAUCCGCCACACUGGCACUGGAACACGGGCCAGACUCCUACGGGAGGCAGCAGUGAGGAAUAUUGCGCAAUGGGGGAAACCCUGACGCAGCGACGCCGCGUGAGUGAGGAAGGCCUUCGGGUCGUAAAGCUCUGUCAAGAGGAAAGAAGUGUACAAUGGCUAAUACCUGUUGUAUUUGACGGUACCUCUAAAGGAAGCACCGGCUAACUCCGUGCCAGCCGCCGC